GAAAUGCGAUAAGUAAUGUGAAUUGUAGAAUUCGGUGAAUCAUCGAAUCUUUGAACGCACAUUGCGCCCGCCAGCACUCUGGCGGGCAUGCCUGUUCGAGCGUCAUUUCAACCCUCAGAACCCCUUGCGGGAUCUGGCGUUGGGGAUUGGCAUCCAGCCAGCCCCGAAAUCUAGUGGCGGUCCCUCCGCGACCUCCCCUGUGCAGUAGCGAUACCUCGCAGCGGGACAGCGGUCUGACCACGCCGUAAAACCCCCAACUUCUCAAGGUUGACCUCGAAUCAGGUAGGAAUACCCGCUGAACUUAAGC
rnacentral:misc_RNA from 1 species